GAUGAACGCUAGCGGGAGGCCUAACACAUGCAAGCCGAGCGGUAUUGUUUCUUCGGAAAUGAGAGAGCGGCGUACGGGUGCGGAACACGUGUGCAACCUGCCUUUAUCUGGGGGAUAGCCUUUCGAAAGGAAGAUUAAUACUCCAUAAUAUAUUGAACGGCAUCGUUUAAUAUUGAAAGCUCCGGCGGAUAGAGAUGGGCACGCGCAAGAUUAGCUAGUUGGUGAGGUAACGGCUCACCAAGGCGAUGAUCUUUAGGGGGCCUGAGAGGGUGAUCCCCCACACUGGUACUGAGACACGGACCAGACUCCUACGGGAGGCAGCAGUGAGGAAUAUUGGUCAAUGGGUGCAAGCCUGAACCAGCCAUCCCGCGUGAAGGACGACUGCCCUAUGGGUUGUAAACUUCUUUUGUAUAGGGAUAAACCUACCCUCGUGAGGGUAGCUGAAGGUACUAUACGAAUAAGCACCGGCUAACUCCGUGCCAGCAGCCGCGGUAAUACGGAGGGUGCAAGCGUUAUCCGGAUUUAUUGGGUUUAAAGGGUCCGUAGGCGGACUUAUAAGUCAGUGGUGAAAGCCUGUCGCUUAACGAUAGAACUGCCAUUGAUACUGUAAGUCUUGAGUAUAUUUGAGGUAGCUGGAAUAAGUAGUGUAGCGGUGAAAUGCAUAGAUAUUACUUAGAACACCAAUUGCGAAGGCAGGUUACCAAGAUAUAACUGACGCUGAGGGACGAAAGCGUGGGGAGCGAACAGGAUUAGAUACCCUGGUAGUCCACGCCGUAAACGAUGCUAACUCGUUUUUGGGCUUUAGGGUUCAGAGACCAAGCGAAAGUGAUAAGUUAGCCACCUGGGGAGUACGCUCGCAAGAGUGAGACUCAAAGGAAUUGACGGGGGCCCGCACAAGCGGUGGAUUAUGUGGUUUAAUUCGAUGAUACGCGAGGAACCUUACCAAGACUUAAAUGGGAAUUGACAGCUUUAGAAAUAGAGCUUUCUUCGGACAAUUUUCAAGGUGCUGCAUGGUUGUCGUCAGCUCGUGCCGUGAGGUGUUAGGUUAAGUCCUGCAACGAGCGCAACCCCUGUCACUAGUUGCCAUCAUUCAGUUGGGGACUCUAGUGAGACUGCCUACGCAAGUAGAGAGGAAGGUGGGGAUGACGUCAAAUCAUCACGGCCCUUACGUCUUGGGCCACACACGUAAUACAAUGGCCGGUACAGAGGGCAGCUUCACAGCGAUGUGAUGCAAAUCUCGAAAGCCGGUCUCAGUUCGGAUUGGAGUCUGCAACUCGACUCUAUGAAGCUGGAAUCGCUAGUAAUCGCGCAUCAGCCAUGGCGCGGUGAAUACGUUCCCGGGCCU
rnacentral:rRNA from 1 species